UAUUGUACCAAUGUGCCUCUGCAAAGCCA
rnacentral:piRNA from 1 species